CCUACGGGGGACAGCAGUGAGGAAUAUUGGUCAAUGGACGCAAGUCUGAACCAGCCAUGCCGCGUGCAGGAUGACGGCUCUAUGUGUUGUAAACUGCUUUUGUACGAGGAUAAACGCAGAUACGCGUAUCUGUCUGAAUGUACCUUACGAAUAAGCAUCGGCUAACUCCGUGCCAGCAGCCGCGGUAAUACGGAGGAUUCAAGCGUUAUCCGGAUUUAUUGGGUUUAAAGGGUGCGUAGGCGGUCGGAUAAGUCAGCGGUGAAAUCCCGAGGCUCAACUGCGGCAUUGCCUCUGAUACUGGUAGGCUAGAGAGUAGGUGCGGUAGGCGGAAUGUAUGGUGUAGCGGUGAAAUGCUUAGAGAUCAUACAGAACACCGAUUGCGAAGGCAGCAUACCAAGCUACGUCUGACGUUGAGGCACGAAAGCGUGGGUAGCAAACAGGAUUAGAUACCCCUGUAGUC
rnacentral:rRNA from 1 species